GGUACCAUGAAGGGAAUCAACACGGCCUUGAGAUCCAGAGUAACCUGAGGGCUUCUCUAAGGAGAAGGCUAAGCUGAGCCCUGGAGGAUGAAAAUGAACCAGACUUGUCAAGAACCAGAGGAAGAGCAUUCCAGGUGUAGGGAACUGCAGAGAGCCUCAGAGCAGCCUCAGCAUCACCUGGGAACUCGUCAGAGAUGCAGAAUUUCAGGCUCCACCGAGAGCCACAGAAUCUGAAUCAGCAUGUUUACAAGACCCCACGUGACUUCAGUAGGUUGAGAAGUGUGGCUUUGCUUUACCACGUCGUUACCCGAAACGGAAGAGGGAGAGGUGCUUUGGGAUUUUUUUGUUUGAGGUUUUUUUUUUUAACUUUUUUUAUUGAAGUAUAAUUGACAUGUAGCAUUACGUUAGUUUCAGGUGUACAACAUGAUGAUUCAAUAUUUGUGUAUAUUGAGAAAUGAUCACCACAAUAAGUCUAGUUAACAUCCAUCACUGCACAUAGGUACACAUUUUUUUUCUUGUGGUGAGGACUUUAAAUAUCUACUCUCAUAGCAACUUCCAAAUAUGCAAGACGGUGUUAUUAAUGACAGUCGCACGCUGUACGUGACCAGGAUAGCACUUCACCUGGAUACUCUAGUGUAGGGACAAAAGGAAACGGUUCCUUUCCCCUCCACCUGUUUCUCCCCGGGUCCAGUGGCUCAAAUGGAGAGAAAGGCUAGGAUUAGUAGUGACAUCUCUGUCAGCCACUGCCCUUCCCAGCCCCGCAGAGACCCUGAACUGGCAGACUCAGCCCUGGGCAGUUCCCAAGCUAGGCGUGACCCCCAGGGGGAGGGCUCAGGUCCCAGUGCUUCCUAGCCUGAGUUUUCUUCUCCCACCCGCUCCCUUCCUUACGCAGUCCCCAUCUACAUGACAGACCUUCUGCCUUAGUUUCCCUGCUCUGAACAGAAGCUGUAGCUGGCCCUGAACCCCAGCCCUGAUCCCAUCUACUCUCAGGAAGGGCCAGAACUUGUCACCAUACUUCUCUCUGCAGCCAGGAGCCUUCUCUCUGGAAACCCUCAGCUACCAGCCACUCAUGCCUUAGUGUAUUUAAAGAAACUUCGUAGGAGUCAGAGACACGACUAGACUCUUCUCUGGCCGGGAGUGCACCUGUCUGGUUACUGGUGCAGUUUUCAUCCGUGUGUAGAAGAUUCCCAUGGGUGUCCACAGCACAACAAAGACAAAGGACUUUGUCCCUCUAUAUUCAAGGGUCUAUUUCCCUGGGAAAGUGAGUGAACAAAGGAAGCAGUCCAGAGCCCAGUUUUAGGAACCAUAAAAUUAAAUAAGACUACUUUAAAUUCCAUGUAAUCAAAUGUCCAUUGUCCUGCUUGAGCCUGGUCUUGUGUGAACUCCAUCAUGUACUCAACAUCCCUGACCCUUUCAAUAUGGCUGCCCCUUAUUGAGCGCUCGCGCUGAGCCAGACGCUGGGCUCAGUGCUUGAUGGGCGUCAUCUUGUUUAAUCCCCACGACAUCCCUGUGCAGAGAUGAGAUGAGUGCGGCUCAGGGAUGCCUGUGCAGAGGUGAGAUGAUGAGACUUCGGUCACUCCCCUGUCCACAGUCACAGGGCUGGUAAAUGGUAGAGUUCGGAUUAGAACCCAGGGCUUUGACACAAAGCCCAUUCUCUUUCUGCUCCUCUGUGUGCAGCACCCAGCUAAGUGCCUGGAACAAAGCAGGCCCUCAAGAAAUGUUUUAAAAUGAAUGAAUGUUUCCAUGUACAGACUACUGUUUAUUGAAUGCCUCCCUUGUUAGUUCAAAUCCUAGCAACAAUCCGGAAAGGGGCUGAUGAUUCCUAUCUGUUUUAAAGAUAAGCACCCUAAGCUUCAGAGAAGUUAAGUAAAUUUCCCAAAGUCAUGGAGUCAAGGAGUCGUUGAGCUGCGAUUUGAAUUCAAGCCUUUCUUUCUGAUGCCUAAAGCCGUGCACUGUUGUCAGUCCCAUCCACCCCUCUAAAAUGGGGAAUUUAAUCUUGGGAAGGGAUGUCUCAGGAUUGACAUGUUACCAGUGGUGUUGGAGAGGGACGUAACUGUCCCUGUGCCUCCAGGGGACAGACCCUGGAGCAGUGAGUGAGAAUUAAAUGGAGGCAGAUGGUGGCUGGAGAUAUGGAACAACUUUUAGCAAGUGUCUGACAAAGUGAGGGAGUGAGCACCCCGUCACUAGGGGUGUUGGAUGGCUGUCUCUGAGAGGGCCCAAAGGUUGACGGAGGGUGACUUCCAAGUUCCCUUUGGCUCUGAGAGUCCCGCGGCGCUGUCAUUUUCUCGGUCAGCCCUGGAAACCCCUGGAGAGGAUGACUCAGAGCCAUCCCCUCUGAGCGGGGUAGUUCAGAAGAACACAAUGCUGCUUAUUCUAGCUUCUGGGAGGUAUUUGGAAAAGUCUUGGUUGACAAGGAAGUCAUUGGGGAAUUGACAACUCUCGGAUCAGCUUCUUUCUUCCUUUGCUGGCCGCACCCAGUCACCUUUCAUGGGGGCCCGGUUCUUUUGACACACACCAAGUAGAGAAUGUGACCUAGCAGGUUCCGAUCUUGGGACUCAGCUGGGAAAAAAUGGAAAUCUCAAAUAAAUGGAACCCAUUAUGAUUUACAAUUGAAUCUCAAAGGGCUGGUCCCCUAAAAUGCCCUCUUCCAACCAAAUAAUCUGAGCUCAGAGCUGUGAAUGCCCCGAACUGUCCUUCGAAGACAAGUCCCAAUGUGUAUUGUCCCCUACCUGCCAAGUGUGCCAAGUCGGUUUUCCUGAAGUCCACGGGCCUGGGACCUCUAGCCGCCUGCUUUAUCACACUGAAAAUCUUCUAAACUAUGAAUAGUAACAGUAACGACUUAUAUUUGUACAGAAGGUUGCAAUUGACUGAGUACUUCUAUGUCAUCCCCGUUCUAGCCUCCGAAGACCCCACGUGAGAGGUAAAGUGCAAAGUGUCAUCCCCAUUAUUCAGACCAGGAACACGAGGGUCUGAAGAUGGAGAGAUUCAGGGAUUUGAUCAAAGGCACAUAGUUUCCAGGGUGCAGAUCCAGGACCUGAAUCUACAUUUCUUGAUUCCAAAUUCAGCUACAGCUACUGACUGUGCUUUUGGGGGAGAUCCUUUGACUUCCUGCAUCAGUGCAGCCUCUGGGAAUAAAUAAUUUUAUAUGAGGAGAAGAGUUUAGUUUUCCUAAACUUGGAAGCGAAAAUGCUUCAGUGGAUCAUCUUAGGCUACAGCUGUCCCAGAUGCCCUCCAUGGCUCCUCUCUGGUAUCACAGCAGAAAAUCCUUUGGGGGCUCCAUUGUGGUUAUGAAAAUGUUCACGCCUCUUUUCACAAGAGAAGGCAGUGUUGUGUAGUGGCUGAGAGCAUGGGUUCAAGUUCUGCCUCCUGUUCAGCUGUGUGGCCUUGGACAAGUUAACUAACCUCCCUGAACCUCAAUUUUGCAUGGCCAACUUCUGGGGAUGUGGUCAUGAUCAAAGGAGAUAGAGUGCUGGAGAGCAUAGCACAGUGUUCAUUUCAUAGUAGAUGCUCCUGAAACACGGACUGCACAUGGGUAUAUAAAGCAAGGGCUGAAGGCCAAACACUCGCACUGCCAAGACUCAUUCUUCCAGCACAUACCAGGUGCUUGCUCCUUGGCUCCUUGAGGCAACCCUACAAGGCCGGUGUUAUUAUUCCCAUUUUACACACACGGAAACUGAGGCUUACUUGCCAGCUACUGUCUUCCAUGUGUGUCAGAGCUAGGAUUUGAACUCAGCUCUGUCUGACUCUGAUUCCAAUGCUCCACUGUGCGGCAGAAGGUCACUAGUAUGUAGAGAUUGGAUAGCGUGCAUUACUGAUCAGGAGUGGUGGCAGGAACCUCCAAAAUGGGGUGUCCAAGGACUGGCCCUCCAGAGCUGUCUCUGUCACACUUGCUCUGCAACUGUGAGCCAGGCACAUCAUCUCUCUGGGCCUCACUAGCUUCAUCUGUGGACCAAGGAGGUUGGACGAUAGUCUUGGAGACUCUUUCCGGCUCUGACCUGCUGCGACGCUCCUCAGAUUUCAGAAGGACUCCGGUACCUGAUCCUGCAAUGGAGGGAGCGUAACAGUGGGCCCUGAAUCUCAAAUCCGUUUUGCCUUUUGAAGCCAUGUGUUUCUGCGUGAAUUCAGAAUCUGCCAGAGGAAAACUCCCUAAUUAUCCUACGGGGACUAGCCCAGCCAGUAAUUACGCCUAUUAUUUUAAAUUGUAUUUUAUAAGAUGCCUUUCAUCCAAGAUCUCAAAGGGCUUCUCAAACAUUCAUUAGAGGAACCCCACCCCCUCCUGUGUGGAUAUGAAAGGCAGAGACUGAUUUUAAUAUCAGCAAGAAGAGGUCGGGGCAGAGAGAAGGGGACUGAGAUCCCAGGAGUAAUUUCACCUCUGAGUUCAAAGGAGAAAAGAAAGAAAUACGCCAGGGAAAUGUUCGCCUUCAGAAGGAGUUCAGGGGCUAUUCAGUGAAGAGCAGACGGAUCAGGAAAUGUUCCUCCUUGUCAAAAGGAGCCUACGAGAGGCACUCUCCUUCAGUGGGGCUCAGUUCAAUUUGGCUUGCUUCAUUUCACUCUAGAAUUAUCCACCAGUUGUCUUUGGAGCUGAUCUCCAGCUCACAGGCCUGUGCGAAGUGAUGUGAAAGGUGUAAGUGGAUCAAGGGUUUCAGAGAGCACUCAUUAUAGACUUGGGAACAUUAGUGUAAGCGGGAGGGCACAGGAACCUCCCAGGAGGGCCCUGAUGGCUGCCUUAAACAAAUGGCUGAAGCCAAGGCUAAGAGGCCCCCCCAUGUAGCCAGUGGCUGCCCCAACACCUCCCUGGCGGUAGGCGGAGGGAAAUGAAUCUGGGUCAAUAUGCUAAGUCCAGGGACUUGAUUAACAAACGACCUAGAAGGACCAUUUUGAGUAGCUCAUCAUGAGGGCCGCUUUUCUCCUUCCCUCCUCCCUGUCCUGCGUGAUACUUGUCCCAAGUUCCUUUCCUCUCCAUUCCAAUGGAUGGAUAGAAGUGAUCACUAUGUAGCAUGAGAAGCUUCAGUCUCCCAGGGCUGGGCAAGGGGCCAGCAGUCUUUCCUGCUGGUCUGUGAGCUCGUGGAGGACAGACUCUGCCUGCCUGUUCACCGUGUUCCCCAGCACGUGUUCUGGCCAGAGUGGUGGAUGCUCAGAACAUAUUCAUUGACUAAAGGAGCAGAUCACCAGCUGCCACUCUAAUUCUGGCCUUGCAAGAUGGUCUGAUGCAGGCCGGAGAAGGAUCCUUUCCUUCCUCAGCUUGGAGACGACUAGAUUCAAAGGACAACCAGGGCCACACAGCUCCAGCGACUUCAGAAGCUAAAGACAGAAGUCAUGUUAAGCUGGGGGUGAGGGUCCCAAUGACGUGGUGACUGAGGACCCCAGGAUGAGAUGGUGGGGGAAGCAAGGCAUGUGGUCUGAAGUAGCGAAAGGGAGGACUGUCCUGGGUACUGGGAGCAUGGGGUCCUUCAGGAAGAAGGUUGGGACCUACGGGGUAAGGCUCCCAACCAUUCACUGAUGGGGGCUCCCAGGGCCCAUGACUGGUACUCAGGGCAAUACAGCCUGAAGGGAUGCGAGUGACAGGAGAGGAGGACGAGGCGCGGCCUUGCCCACAAGGAGCCGGGAGUUUUGUUGUGGAGAUUAGAUUUACACACAGAGCGAUUAGAGAACAACGCAAGCAGAUCUGUCACUGACUAGAUUGGGAGUUUCCUGUUUGGAGAGAGAGGGUCUUACUCAUUGCAGUGUUUCUUGUCGGGCCUGACAGAGGUCCAGGCACUUUCUCUGCUCCAGAUACACUUGAUGAUCAGCUGUCGCAUUGGAUGGUGUGAAAAGUCAAUGGUCCAGAUUAGAAAAGGGAGGAAUCUGGAGGCCGAGAUGUGGGAGAAGGCUUCAAGAGAGAGGAGGAGCUGUGGUGGCUGCUAAUAAACGCCCAGGGAAAAGUGUUCCCCACUACCUUGUCAAGGCUUUCAUGGCAUGAGAAACUGUGAG
rnacentral:lncRNA from 1 species